rnacentral:rRNA from 1 species
ACGAACGCUGGCGGCGUGCUUAACACAUGCAAGUCGAACGGAAAGGCCCUGCUUUUGUGGGGUGCUCGAGUGGCGAACGGGUGAGUAACACGUGAGUAACCUGCCCUUGACUUUGGGAUAACUUCAGGAAACUGGGGCUAAUACCGGAUAGGAGCUCCUGCUGCAUGGUGGGGGUUGGAAAGUUUUGGCGGUUGGGGAUUGACUUGCGGCUUAUCAGCUUGUUGGUGGGGUAGUGGCUUACCAAGGCUUUGACGGGUAGCCGGCCUGAGAGGGUGACCGGCCACAUUGGGACUGAGAUACGGCCCAGACUCCUACGGGAGGCAGCAGUGGGGAAUAUUGCACAAUGGGCGGAAGCCUGAUGCAGCAACGCCGCGUGCGGGAUGACGGCCUUCGGGUUGUAAACCGCCUUCGCCUGUGACGAAGCGUGAGUGACGGUAAUGGGUAAAGAAGCACCGGCUAACUACGUG